UACGGAGGGGGCGAGCGUUAUUCGGAAUUAUUGGGCGUAAAGGGCGCGUAGGCGGCUUGUUAAGUCAAAGGUGAAAUCCCUCGGCUCAACUGAGGAACUGCCUUUGAAACUAGCGAGCUUGAGGCCGGGAGGGGGUAGCGGAAUUCCCAGUGUAGCGGUGAAAUGCGUAGAUACUGGGAGGAACACCAGUGGCGAAGGCGGCUACCUGGACCGGUACUGACGCUGAGGCGCGAAAGCGUGGGUAGCAAACAGG
rnacentral:rRNA from 1 species